UACGGAGGGUGCAAGCGUUAUCCGGAUUCACUGGGUUUAAAGGGUGCGUAGGCGGGCAUGUAAGUCAGGGGUGAAAUCUUUCGGCUCAACCGGAAAACUGCCUUUGAUACUGACUGGCUGGAGGGAGAUAGGGGUUGCGGGAACUACCGAGUGGAGCGGUGAAAUGCGUUGAUAUUGGUAGGAACGCCGGUGGCGAAAGCGCGCAACUGGAUCUCUUCUGACGCUGAGGCGCGAAAGCUAGGGGAGCAAACGGG
rnacentral:rRNA from 1 species